GCUGGCAGCCAUCUCACCCUGCAACUCACAAUUGACAACCCACUGAAGCUAAGCAGGUGUGAGCCUGGUUAGUACAUGGAUGUGGGACAUCCUGGGAAAAACUAAGGUUGCUGCUGGAA
rfam:Lepisosteus oculatus linkage group LG10, whole genome shotgun sequence.